GGUUUGAUGAAGAAUGGACAACCACGUAGAAAUGUGAUUGGAUGAAAGUCAGAGACUGGGGAGCGAAACCCAGCAAGUCCUGUCCGUUCAGAUUCUUCUUGGCCUCUCUGUGCAGCAUUCUUUCCUCUCUGGAACCUCAGGUAAACUUCUGCUUCAGAAAUCAUGUCCCAUAAGAAGUCACCUCCUUCACCUAUGAGGAAAGACAACCACGCUGUCACUGGGCGGAAUGGUCACAGCUGGCCUGUGGUGGAAUCAUGCAUUGUAACAGGCAAAGGCUCCAAUCAAGCCUGUCCUCUACCCUAGAUCUGGGGCUGAUAGCAUUCUGCAAGAACAGCCACAAAAUAAGAACAGGAAUCAUCUGCACUUUGGAAACACCAACACACUGAGACCUGUUUUGGAAAAAAACAGUGUCUGAAAUGGAAAGCUUAGGGGAGACACUUCAAACUCAAAGAACUCCCUGCUGAGAUUUUAAAGCCCCACCACAUAAAGAAAAAACCUUGACGUGUUUGACUAGCAAUUGACAAUUUAUGUAAAAUAUCAACUUUCAUAUCACCAAUAUUUAUAUCGCCUAACUUUUAUAAGGAACAUAAAAUAUACACAUGACUAUUCGACCUGCCAAGAAAUGAUAGCUUGGUAUACUGUCAUUGGCCUUGGAUCAUCGCUUGAAUUGAGCAACAUAAUUCAGAGCACAGAGUCUCCGACUCACGGGGAAUAUAAAAUUCUUAUCCAAGGACAAUGUAACCCGCUUGCAAAUAUAAUAGCGCACGUGCAAUUCAUCGCGUCUCUCUUUCCCCUUUUGUUCAUUUGCUCUCCACUAGAGGAUGUGAUCUCUGAAACUUUGCUCUUUAUGCCGAUGGUUUGCAGGGGACUGAGUGAGAAUGGGAGCUGAAAGAGAAACAAGACCUUCGAGUUCUCACAUUACAUUAUACUUUCCAACCGUUUGAAGUUAGUGUAACCCUUUGCUAAGUACUUGGCAAACUUUAAACUAUACAUCUGUGAAGCUGGGUUUUUUUUUCCUUCACAUUACCUUUCACCUACUUUAAAAUAAACCACUCAUUGUUCAAGAGGGAAAAAUCAAAUUUGUUUUUCCAAAGUAAUCUAUAAUGGAGUAAAACAUUGUUAGAAGGUUUGCAAUUAACUAAUUUACUGUGCAAUAAAUCUCAGAGGGAAUGUAAAUUAAUGAGGAAAUCACUUUUUACCUUCAAUAUUUAGGCUUCUAUUUUCUUUAUUAACAAAACAUAAGCUUUUUUAAAUUGGAAAAGUAUAUGAAGUUGAUUUUUAAAAUGUUUACACCAUGGAGAAACAUAAAAUUAAAGUGAAAAAGUAAUAGCUCAUUUUCUUGUAUAUCUGGGUUUGUUUGGGUAUUAAAAUAAUGAAAGCAAACACAUGGAAAUAAGAAAUUUGUUUGCAAAUGUAUUAGAUUUAACUUUAGUUUUAACUCUAUUUCCCCAGAUUUUAUCACUUAGAGAUGACAAAAACUAUUUUAAAUCAGUUUAGAAAGUGUAAAGAGGAGGCCUACUGUGUUCCAGGCAUGAUGUUAGGUAUCAGAGGUGAUAUGAAGAUGGAAUGACCUGGAAUCCUUAACUCUGUAAUAGACAUUUGUAUAAAAUAAAAUGGAAACUUCAUA
rnacentral:lncRNA from 10 species